UUGAUUUCUCAUCAAUUGAUUUCUCCCAAGUCAUGUAUUUAGGGUUAUUUUUACUGACCAUAAUUUUACGUCUCUCACAAACAUAACCCUUAGUACAUGACUUGGGAGAAAUCAAUGCUCUCCAACCGUGUAAAUAUUGCAAGUAAGGGAUCUCUAGAUCGAUUUUUGAAAUGCUACACUUUCAUCUGUCAGCAACUCGAGCCCAAUUGUUAGUCUAGAUCAGACAAUGCUUUGCCGACAACUUGGAGUUUUCUACUUCUCCUGAUUUCCAUGCAUUACUAGAAAGAAUCCAAGCGUCUUUUGGUUUCAACUUUCUUGAGACUCUGCUGCAUUAUGCAAAACUUUUGUGGAAAAUUGUCAAUGAUAAUCAUAUGGAAAUGAUUGUCAAAUAAACAGAGCUGAAUUUGAAAUUCCAACCAUUUGAUGUCAUUAAUAUGUAAAUACGAUUGUGGCCGCCAAGUGUCUUUGCAGUAAACCCACAAUCAUACACACACACGCAAAUCGUGGGACAAGGGCAAACCCAAACAACCCACGAACCACUUACAUAUUUUCACGAUUGACCUUUUCGCAAACGCUUAAAAAAAUAAACUGGAAACGAAGAAAGUGACAUUCUCUGAAUACGAGAAACCCUCCGAACUUAUUACACACAUGAAUGUUAUCAUCAUCAUCAUCAGGAGCAGUUAUCGAGCUCCGUUUCUGGGUGGGAGGAAAAUUUGAAUAAUAAUGAAAUUACAUAUUUUCCAGAUCAUCGGCAAAAUGGCAAAGAACAAACUUGAAAAUUCAAUUGUAUUUAAUAGCUGCGAGACGGGCACGCUUAGGGCCCACGUGGACACCAUUUGUGUAAUAUAAUUCCCGAGUACCACCAAUGAAUAUUCAAUUUCAAAAUUUUGUGUGUUCUUAGGAAGUUUUUUUUUUCUGAAAUGUAAACACAGCUGCUAAAACAAAAUCCGAAGGACUAGAGAACGUAAAAUGAA